rnacentral:rRNA from 1 species
UACGUAGGGGGGCAAGCGUUGUCCGGAAUCAUUGGGCGUAAAGCGCGCGUAGGCGGCUAGAUCAGUCUGCUGUAAAAGUCAAAGGCUCAACCUUUGAAAGCCGGUGGAUACUGUCUAGCUAGAGUCCGGAAGAGGCGAGUGGAAUUCCUGGUGUAGCAGUGAAAUGCGUAGAUAUCGUAAGGAAGACCAGUGGCGAAGGCGAGUCUCUGGACAGCAACUGACGCUGAGGCACGAAGGCCAGGGGAGCAAACGGG